UUCAGUCGCCAGAAACAUGCUUCAUUCAAGCCACACGUUAUAAAACUGAGUUCAAGGAGACAAGUCGAAAAUUACAACUUCGUACAAUUGUCUUAUGGUCAAUUUAAACAGAGAAAUGUUUAAAGAAUUCCACAGCUGCCAAAUUAUACUCCAAAAUGAACCUGCUAAUCGAAGACAUUGGAAUAUCUUCUUCUUUAAGCUCCUUAUUACCUUUAUUGGCUAGUACUGGAUACGUCAGCAGGCGAGCCGGCGUAAAGUAUCGACUGUACGCAUUACAAUUAAAAUAUUUAGUGUUAAAGUAACAAUACUGAUAUGCAUAUUCUUUAACAUACUUUUAAAGCUUCAAGGCGUAAUAAAAUAUCCGUAAUUUCUUAUAGAAAUAUGCACAUUUUAUUACAAUAUCAAGAUGUAUCAUUGAUUUAUGAACCAAUACAGUUAGUUACAUAACGCCCCAACAAAGAACAGUGUUACUAUCCAUAUAACUGACUUUCUACACGGAAUUCGUUUGUUUGUAAUGGGUUAUUUUAACACUCUUACCUUUCCGUUAAAAUACUGUAAACAUACACCAUUUUACUUCUGGUAUUACUAAAUCUUCCACCAGAUAGCGGUAUAGACAUUACCAGUCUCGCCUUUGAGUCGAGGCUUUUGCGAUAGUCGUGGUUGUCUGUGUGGUUGUAUGAUUUUACAUAGCGAAAUUCUCGUCUCUAAAGCUUCUAGUGAGGCUUCUACUUCCCUUCCAAGUUCUGUGGUAUGGGCCGGACAGGUAGGAAGAACCUGUAGUGCUUAUUCUGCAAGUUUGCUCUGUGACGAAGUAUUUGUGCAGCAAACAUAUAUUGGAAAGUGAUUACAUAACACCUGAAAGGAGGUCUUGGUGGCAAAUACCUGGCUGCAGUUGGGUUUUGUCAAGGAGAUUGAUAAUCUCUUUGAUGGUUUCAGUGGUGCAACACAUGUUGGCCCAGGAAAGACACUGAAUUGCUUGCUUAGUGAUGACAGCCAUCAUAUAGGUUACUGGAACAAAGCAGUAUGUGGUUAAGUAGAUGGAUCUUGUUCAGGGAUAAUAAAGCCUCCUUUUAUCACCCCCUUCCUUCA